GAUGAACGCUGGCGGCGUGCCUAAUACAUGCAAGUCGAGCGAACAGACGAGGAGCUUGCUCCUCUAACGUUAGCGGCGGACGGGUGAGUAACACGUGGAUAACCCACCUAUAAGACUGGGAUAACUUCGGGAAACCGGAGCUAAUACCGGAUAAUAUAUUGAACCGCAUGGUUCAAUAGUGAAAGACGGUUUUGCUGUCACUUAUAGAUGGAUCCGCGCCGCAUUAGCUAGUUGGUAAGGUAACGGCUUACCAAGGCAACGAUGCGUAGCCGACCUGAGAGGGUGAUCGGCCACACUGGAACUGAGACACGGUCCAGACUCCUACGGGAGGCAGCAGUAGGGAAUCUUCCGCAAUGGGCGAAAGCCUGACGGAGCAACGCCGCGUGAGUGAUGAAGGUCUUCGGAUCGUAAAACUCUGUUAUUAGGGAAGAACAAAUGUGUAAGUAACUAUGCACGUCUUGACGGUACCUAAUCAGAAAGCCACGGCUAACUACGUG
rnacentral:rRNA from 1 species